CUACCGGCCUACUUCCUGGCCCAGCCAUCCCAGCUGAUGCCAGGCAGCUGGCGGUCGGCCCUUUCCCGCCGGGCUCCAACGGCCCCCACUUUGCCUACGCCGAUCCCUCACUCCGGGCGCCCCCCGCCCUGGAAGCCGGAGAACGGGCUUGAUCGGACCCAGAGGAGCCUCACCUGAAAGGACAAACACGUGCACGAUGACCCAGAAGGAGACGAGGCCGAUUUGGCUGCCAAGGUGAACCUUGCCAGCAGCACGACGACGACCACGGGGUUGCCAGGUGCUCGGCGUCCUCAACAGAUUAACUUUGGAAGAUUAAACACGAGAGGCUCCCGCCAUGUGAACAUGACGCAGCAUGUAGUCUUGUGGAUCGCCGGAGAGCAGAAGGGGAAGACUUGACGUUCUCUAUCUCCUCACCGCCGACCUCUCGCCCACAUCAUUCCUGGAAUAUCCUCCACUUCAUGUUCAACAGACCACCACUCUCCCCACCUUCAAGGCCCUAUUAAAAGCCCAUCUCCUCCAAGA